GUGGAAACCCAUCUGUUCCUCACCACUGGCGGAGACCACAAUCUGCAGCCAUGGAGACAGUGGAAUGUUCUUCCUACAGCUAGAUCCAUCUGCCCUAGAAGAGGGGGCAAACAAGGAAAACAAAGCUGCAAGCCCCGAAGAAUAUUAACAAGAGAAUAAGGUUUCCAGAUUUAACAAAUAAAAAUAUAAAAUGCCGGCCAGCUUUUCACUGUGCCCACUGGUCACCCCUUGCUGGGCCUCCAUUGGCCUCAGUAAGGCUGGCCCAGGUACCCGCUGCCCUGCCUGGAACCCACCUCCCUAAGAAUCCUGACUGCCCCACAGGAACCAUGGUGAGGACUUGCUUGCCAGCA
rnacentral:lncRNA from 1 species